rnacentral:rRNA from 1 species
UGGGCAACCCGCCCCAGACUCAGGGAUAACCCCGGGAAACCGGGGCUAAUACCCGAUACUCCGAUCGAACCACAUGGCUCGAUCGGGAAAGCUCCGACGGUCUGGGAUGGGCCCGCGGCCUAUCAGCUUGUUGGUGGGUAACGCCUACCAAGGCGACGACGGGUAGCUGGUCUGAGAGGAUGAUCA